AACAGCGGAAGCCUCUCGUCACACUUUCUGCGCGCACCAGUGUUACAGCAAGCAAGGGCAGCAUUCGAAAUUCCGCCGAAAUUAAUGUCACUGGACGAAGAUGGGGUGUCAAAUGAAGAGUCGGCCGAUGAACCCAUUCUGGCACUCGCCUGAACUAACAACAGCUCACCCAAUUGGUGAUGGCAGAGAGUGUGCCGUGAUUUGAAAUUUUCUGCCAGAUUGAAAAUGUUUGCCAGACUGGAACACGAACCCAGAACCUUUUGUGGGCAAUGGUUGGUUGGUUGUUUCGGAGAAGGAGACCAGACAGCGAGGUCAUCGGUCUCAUCGGAUUAGGGAAGGACGGGGAAGGAAGUCGGCCGUGCCCUUUGAAAGGAACCAUCCCGGCAUUUGCCUGGAGCGAUUUAGGGAAAUCACGGGAAACCUAAAUCAGGAUGGCCGGACGCGGGAUUGAACCGUCGUCCUGCCGAAUGCGAGUGCAGUGUCUAACCACUGCGCCACCUCGCUCGGUUUGUGGGCAAUGGCCUUGCUAAAUUAGCUACCCAGACACGACUCACAGCCUUAUCUACAUCAGUAGCUCUCUCCUGCUUCCAUAAUUCCAUAAAUGAUAUUCUGCAUGCAUUACUAAACUAGUACUCAUUCUGGAGGACGAAGGUUCAGUCCCGUGUCCGGCCAUACUGAUUCAGGUUUUCCCUGAUUUCCCUAAAUCGCUCCAGGCAAAUGCCGGGAUGGUUCCUUAGAAAGGGCCGUCAAAUGAAUAGUCGGCCGAUGAACCCAUUCUGGCACUCGCCUGAACUAACAACAGCUCACCCAAUUGGUGAUGGCCAAGAGUGUGCCGUGAUUUGAAAUUUUCUGCCAGAUUGGAAAUGUUUGCCAGACUGGAACACGAACCCAGAACCUUUUGUGGGCAAUGGCCUUGCUAAAUUAGCUACCCAGACACGACUCACAGCCUUAUCUACAUCAGUAGCUCUCUCCUGCUUCCAUAAUUCCAUAAAUGAUUUUCUGCAUGCAUUACUAAACUAGUACUCAUUCUGGAGGACGAAGGUUCAGUCCCGUGUCCGG